UACGUAGGGUGCGAGCGUUAAUCGGAAUUACUGGGCGUAAAGCGUGCGCAGGCGGUGAUGUAAGACAGGUGUGAAAUCCCCGGGCUUAACCUGGGAACUGCGCUUGAUACGGCAGAGCUAGAGGAUGGAAGAGGCUCGCGGAAUUCCCAGUGUAGAGGUGAAAUGCGUAGAUAUCUGGAGGAAUACCGGUGGCGAAGGCGGCAUCCUGGACCAUAACUGACGCUGAGGCGCGAAAGCUAGGGGAGCAAACGGG
rnacentral:rRNA from 1 species